rnacentral:rRNA from 1 species
GGUCGGUAAAUACUCGUGCCAGCCACCGCGGUUAUACGAGAGACCCCAGUUGAUGACUACGGCGUAAAGAGUGGUUUGGGGCCCCCCACAAAUAAAGCCAAAGACCUCCCAAGCUGUCAAACGCACCCCGGAGACACGAAGCCCUAACACGAAAGUAGCUUUACCCCUAAUCCCCGACGCCACGAAAGCUAAGACACAAACUGGGAUUAGAUACCCCACUAUGCUUAGCCCUAAACUCAGAUGUAAAACAUACAAAUAACAUCCGCCAGGGUACUACAGGCGCUAGCUUAAAACCCAAAGGACUUGACGGUGUCUCAGACCCGCCUAGAGGAGCCUGUUCUAGAACCGAUAAUCC